rnacentral:rRNA from 1 species
AGUGAACGCUGGCGGUAGGCCUAACACAUGCAAGUCGAACGGCAGCACAGUAAGAGCUUGCUCUUACGGGUGGCGAGUGGCGGACGGGUGAGGAAUACAUCGGAAUCUACUUUUUCGUGGGGGAUAACGUAGGGAAACUUACGCUAAUACCGCAUACGACCUACGGGUGAAAGCAGGGGAUCUUCGGACCUUUCGCGAUUGAAUGAGCCGAUGUCGGAUUAGCUAGUUGGCGGGGUAAAGGCCCACCAAGGCGACGAUCCGUAGCUGGUCUGAGAGGAUGAUCAGCCACACUGGAACUGGGACACGGUCCAGACUCCUACGGGAGGCAGCAGUGGGGAAUAUUGGACAAAGGGCGCAAGCCUGAUCCAGCCAUACCGCGUGGGUGAAGAAGGCCUUCGGGUUGUAAAGCCCUUUUGUUGGGAAAGAAAAGCAGCAGGUUAAUACCCCGCUGUUCUGACGGUACCCAAAGAAUAAGCACCGGCUAACUUCGUG